rnacentral:sRNA from 1 species
GUCGUGAGAUGUUGGGUUAAGUCCCGCAACGAGCGCAACCCUUAUUCUAUGUUGCCAGCGCGUAAUGGCGGGGACUCGUAGGAGACUGCCGGGGUCAACUCGGAGGAAGGUGGGGACGACGUCAAGUCAUCAUGCCCCUUAUAUCCAGGGCUGCACACAUGCUACAAUGGCUGGUACAACGGGUCGCUAAUCCGCGAGGAGGAGCUAAUCCCCAAAGCCAGUCUCAGUUCGGAUCGCAGUCUGCAACUCGACUGCGUGAAGUCGGAGUCGCUAGUAAUCCCGGAUCAGCAACGCCGGGGUGAAUACGUUCCCGGGCCUUGUACACACCGCCCGUCACACCACGAAAGUCGGCAACACCCGAAGCCGGUGGCCCAACCUUUUAGGAGGGAGCCGUCGAAGGUGGGGUCGGUGAUUGGGGUGAAGUCGUAACAAGGUAGCCGUACCGGAAGGUGCGGCUGGAUCACCUCCUUUCUAAGGAGUUUUUGUCCAGCCAUUUUGGUUGGAUACUCCUGUCGAUCACUGACUAUUCGUUGGCGUCUGUAUCUCACCCCUUAUUGACCGCACAUCUUCGGAUGUCCCGUCGACGAGGCUUGUGAGCGCUGCGGUCACCUCCGGGCAUCACUAUUCCGUUUUGAGGGAGCGAUCCCUGGUCAGUGCCCUUCGGGCUCGGACCAGGUACUGCCACCCUCCGAUGCGACGCCUGCCCACCGUUUCGGUGGCCAGGCCUCUCGUUCGCACCCCUCUGCCCGGUUGCCCGUUUAUGCGGCCGUGCACCGUGGGCGCGCUGUGCGCACCUUGAGAAUUCCAUAGCGAGCACGAGCAUCUAUGUUCUCCAAGUUAUAAAGAGUCAACGGCGAAUGCCUUGGCGCCUGAAGCCGAAGAAGGACGUGGGAGGCUGCGAUAAGCCACGGGGAGUUGCCUACCAAGCGCGGAUCCGUGGAUGU